AGGACGAACGCUGGCGGCGUGCUUAACACAUGCAAGUCGAGCGAGGCCCUUCCUUCGGGAAGGUGCCCUAGCGGCGAACGGGUGAGUAACACGUGGGCAAUCUGCCCCUAGCACUGGGAUAACUCCGGGAAACCGGGGCUAAUACCGGAUAUGACCUCUGAGGGCAUCCUCUGGAGGUGGAAAGGAUCCUGGCUAGGGAUGAGCCCGCGGCCUAUCAGCUUGUUGGUGGGGUAACAGCCUACCAAGGCGACGACGGGUAGCCGGCCUGAGAGGGCGACCGGCCACACUGGGACUGAGACACGGCCCAGACUCCUACGGGAGGCAGCAGUGGGGAAUAUUGCACAAUGGGCGAAAGCCUGAUGCAGCGACGCCGCGUGAGGGAUGACGGCCUUCGGGUUGUAAACCUCUUCAGCAGGGACGAAGCGAAGUGACGGUACCUGCAGAGAAGCACCGGCCAACUACGCGCCAGCAGCCGCGGU
rnacentral:rRNA from 1 species